AUCCAGAUGGCGGGCGUCCCAAAUAGGACGAAAUGCGCAUCCUGGAU
rnacentral:hammerhead_ribozyme from 1 species